rnacentral:misc_RNA from 1 species
UUAAGUUCAGCGGGUAUCCCUACCUGAUCCGAGGUCAAACUGUGGGUGUGGACUUGAUGGACGCCGAUCCGCCGAAGCCUCCAGAAGCGCAAUGUGCUGCGCGAGAAGCUGGCAAGACCGCUGCCAAUACCUUUGGGGCGAGUCCACGCAAACAGCGCGGACAGACGCCCAACACCAAGCGGAGCUUGAGGGUGUAAAUG